CUUGACCUCGGAUCAGGUAGGGAUACCCGCUGAACUUAAGCAUA
rnacentral:rRNA from 7 species